CGGAGUAUAGCGCAGUCUGGUAGCGCACUUGGCUGGGGGCCAAGGGGUCGCAGGUUCGAAUCCUGCUACUCCGA
rnacentral:tRNA from 1 species